rnacentral:rRNA from 1 species
GUAGGUGGCAAGCGUUGUCCGGAAUUAUUGGGCGUAAAGCGCGCGCAGGCGGUUUUUUAAGUCUGAUGUGAAAGCCCACGGCUCAACCGUGGAGGGUCAUUGGAAACUGGAGAACUUAAGUACAGAAGAGGAAAGCGGAAUUCCACGUGUAGCGGUGAAAUGCGUAGAGAUGUGGAGGAACACCAGUGGCGAAGGCGGCUUUCUGGUCUGUAACUGACGCUGAGGCGCGAAAGCGUGGGGAGCAAACAGGGAUUAGAUACCCUGGUAGUCCACGCCGUAAACGAUGAGUGCUAAGUGUUAGGGGGUUUCCCGCCCCUUAGUGCUGCAGCUAACGCAUUAAGCACUCCGCCUGGGGAUACGGCCGCAAGGCUG